rnacentral:misc_RNA from 1 species
UGCUUUGAAAAAAAAAAAAUCCCUUUCCAAGUGUAGAUUUUAAAUACGCCAAAAUACGAAAGACAACUUCUACGUGAGGUUUUUGAGGAUUAUGCAUAUAUUGGAUCACUAGGCUUACAACACAUACUAUGUCUGGUUUAGUAUGAGGGAGAUAAUUCAAUCUCCCAACUAACCUCUGAUAUCUUCCUAUGUCAAUUGCCUCCCCAAUUCCAACUUGCAGCUUGUGAUUAGUUUCAAUAGGAGAUUCUACUGACUUACAGCCCAACAUAUCUGUCUCAUCUAAGAGGUCUAAUAUGUACUUCCUUUGAGAAAUAAAAAUUUCUUUAUCUGAUCUAGCAACCUCUAUUCCAAGAAAGUAUCUCAGUUUUCCCAAUUCUUUAAUCUCAAACUCUUGUGCUGGGCAUUGCUUCAGAUUUGUAAUUUCUUCCUCAUCAUCUUCUAUCACUGCUAUAUCAUCCACAUAAAUAAUAAAUAAUGUGAUCUUACCUUUACAAUAUUUUAUAAAUAAAGUGUGAUCAAUAUUACUCUGACCGAAGCCAAAGGAGAUCAAAACCUUGUUGAAUCCGUCAAAUCAUAUCCUAGAAGACUGCUGUAGGCCAUAUAAAGCCUUUUUCAAUCUACAAACCUUCCUUUUGGUUUUUUUCAUCAUCGAAUCUUGGAGGUAUUUUUAUAUACACUUUUUCCUCUAAGUCUCUAUGCGAAAAAGCAUUCUUGACAUCGAAUUGCUGCAAAAUUCCAAUCAAGAUUUGCUGCACAGAACAAUAAAAUCCUAAUGGUGGAGAGAGAAGUAAUAAUCCCUUUGAUGUAGGGAUAGAGAUUCCAACAAUAGGUUUUCUCUAUACAUAAAAUUCUCUUAUCACUUUUUAGCUUUUGGCUCCAUGGUUC